UGGGGAAUAUUGCAAAAUGGGGGAAACCCUGAUGCAGCGACGCCGCGUGAAGGAAGAAGUAUCUCGGUAUGUAAACUUCUAUCAGCAGGGAAGAUAGUGACGGUACCUGACUAAGAAGCCCCGGCUAACUACGUGCC
rnacentral:rRNA from 1 species